rnacentral:rRNA from 1 species
UACGAAGGGUGCUAGCGUUGUUCGGAAUUACUGGGCGUAAAGCGCGCGUAGGCGGCUAUACAAGUCAGGGGUGAAAUCCCGGGGCUCAACCCCGGAACUGCCUUUGAAACUGUAUAGCUGGAGUGUGUGAGGGGAUGGCGGAAUUCCUAAUGUAGAGGUGAAAUUCGUAGAUAUUAGGAGGAACACCGGUGGCGAAGGCGGCCAUCUGGCACACAACUGACGCUGAGGCGCGAAAGCGUGGGGAUCAAACAGG